UUAAGGUUACUAAUCAAUUGGCCAUAAAAUAGGGAGAUUAUGCGAGUGGAUCCAAUGUAAUUAUGUGAGCCCUUCAAAGCUGAGGGCAGAAGAGGAAGGCAGAGAGAUUCUGAGUGUGAGAAGGAUUUGAUGUGCUGUUGCUGGAUCUGAGGUAGGAGGAAAGUGUGCAAGGACCAGAGGGAGGUCUUUUGGAGUUAAGGGCAGCCCCUAGCUGACAAUCAGCAAGCAAGCAGAGACGUCACUCCUAUAGCAGCAAGGAACCGAAUUUUGCAGACAACCUGAAUGAACUUGAAGCAGAUUCUUUCCCAGAGCCUCCAGAAAGGAAUGCAGCCCUGCUCACACUUCGACUUGGGCCUGGUGAGACCCUAAACAGAGAACUACAGCAGUGUACCUGGACUUCUGACCUACAGAAACUGUGUGAGCAGUGGAGACCCUCCUUUCUUAGGAGGAACAGAUGAAGCAAGGAUCUUCAUGGCAAGGUUCUAUGGGCAAACUUGGUUACUGUGUUCAAACAGAUACCCUUUGAUUCCUGCCUGUCAUCAAUAGCUCCAAUCCAUGAUUUUACUAAGACAGAAGCAACCAGAAAAGAACUUCCACAAGCUCCUAUCACCACACCUUCAUACUUUCUGGCACAGACUUUGCCUUACUUCCUGCUUACAGGUAAGGAGAAUGCAGCCCAUUGACUUUGGAGGCUUUGAAGGACCCCUGACAGCAGCCCUGGACACGAGUGCCUGGCAAUAAGGAUCAGGCAAGAAGCUGGCUAUCUCGGUUAGAAAUUAGCAUGGAGAGAAGAUUGUGACACUCCAUUUCCUCAUUCCAGUUGCCAAGAUGGAACCUAAACUGUACCUCACGUCCCACCUGACUUUAGAUUGCGUGUGGGUAUUGAAAGAUGAGAACAAAGAGAGAAUCCUGAAAUGGUUGAAUAUUAACCCAAAAGGAGCCAAGAGAAAAAACCUGAAGGUGACUGAAUUAUCCUGCAUUGGCAGGAUGAAGCAGAAAUGAGCACUAAAGCACUAAGUUCAGUCAUAGUGUAAUAACAUCACAUUUUCCACAUCUGAGUGGGUGAGCAAAAAUUUGUAUCUGCUGCAGAUAAAAGAUGAGGCUGACAAGAUCAUCUUCUGUAGCCACAGUUUUGUAGCUGCAGAGAUGAGGCUGGAGGCUCCUGAAGGAUAAAUUAAAACAAUGGAUUAGCUGAGGAUGGGAGUGUUUCAGAAACCCUUGUUGAGGGGCGCCUGUUGGCUCAGUGGGUUAAGCCACUGCCUUCAGCUCGGGUCGUGAUCUCAGGGUCCUGGGAUCGAGUCCCGCAUCGGGCUCUCUGCUCAACAGGGAGCCUGCUUCCCUCUCACUCUCUCUCUGCCUGCCUCUCUGCCUACUUGUGAUCUCUGUCUGUCAAAUAGACAGAUAAAAUCUUUAAAAAAAAAAAAAAA